UUCGAACUCUAUCCACUCCCAACGGCCGAGAGGAAGCGGCCGGUAACCGCCCAGUCCGCCCCGCCCCGCCAACCAGGAGAAGCCACCACCGCGGCGCCAUGGCCUCCGUCGCCGCCUGCUCUUCCACCGUCUUCGCCUCCUCCUUCUCCUCCAUACCCUACCGAACAAGUACGACCCGUCCAUCUCUCCGGCCGCCGCCGCCGCGCCGCGCCAGCCUGCCCGCCCGACCGGUGUUGAGGUGCCUCCGGAAAUCCGACUCGGGCGAGCCGCCGCUGCCUGCGGCUCCUGAGCCGGCCGGUGAGGAACGGGGUGGACCCGCGCCGUUCGAUGCGUCGUGGGGGUACGCGUUCGCGGUGGCGGCGGGGGUGCUCAUGCUCCAGGGGUCGCAGCAGGCGCUGGCCGGCACGCAGUUCAUGGGCCUGCAGCCGCCGGCCGAUGCGCUGGGGGAUCUCGGGGACAUCAGUACAGGUUUUGCUUCAGCUUUUCUGCUCAUCUUCUUUUCUGAGCUAGGAGACAGGACAUUUUUCAUUGCGGCACUUUUAGCAGCUAGAAAUUCUGGAGGAGUCAUUUUUCUUGGCACAUUCGGAGCUCUUGCAGUAAUGACAGUUAUAUCUGUAGUUCUCGGUCGAGCAUUUCAUUAUGUUGAUGGCGUCAUUCCAUUCAGUUUUGGAGGUACAGAUUUUCCAAUUGACGACAUUCUUGCCGUGUGUCUCUUGGUUUAUUAUGGAGUUACUACAUUACUUGAUGCUGCUUCGGGUGAUGGAGAAAAGAUGAAUGAGGAGCAAGAGGAGGCUGAGCUAGCAGUUUCAAAGUUUUCUGGAAAUGGUGCAGGAAUAGUGUCUGUCGCCAGUACUCUUGCAAGCACAUUUGUUUUGGUUUUUGUUGCUGAAUGGGGUGAUAAAUCAUUUUUCUCAACUAUUGCACUUGCUGCAGCUUCAUCCCCUCCAGGUGUCAUUGCAGGGUCGCUGGCUGGCCAUGGUGUUGCAACAUUGAUUGCAGUUCUUGGUGGCUCUUUACUGGGGACAUUCCUGUCAGAAAAGAUAAUAGCAUACAUUGGAGGGAGCCUCUUCCUAGCAUUUGCUGCCGUGACAAUAGUUGAAAUCGUGACUUGAGGGUGGUUUCAAGGUUCGACAACGUACCACAUGAUAGUUAAGCAUCAGAUACAUCAUUCUGACAAGGGAGUUCACCGUUCAUAACACAUCAUAGCAUACAUGGGAUGAUUUUGCUGCCGCUGACAAGAAUUUCUGCCAUCUUCUCCAUGACACCGCUUCAUCGGUGUGACUUGAUAUUCUGAAUGAGAACAGGUAGUAAAUUCAAGUGGCCUGGAGCUUUCUUCUUUACCCCGCAAUCAAAGAAUUGUUAAGAGGAAAACACACGAUUUGUGCAACAUUCACAACACUGAGUAGUCAUUCCAGACAGUCUAACGCACUGUAUUGAACAGUUUCAGUCAAGUACAGUCCUGUAUUACAUCAUUUCGUCGUCGCCGCCUCCCUGUUGUUGUAUAAUUUGGGUUGGUGAUUAAGCAAUGUAUACGUGUUGCAAGAUCCGGCUAAUGCACCUGAUUUAUGAUUUC